ACAUGGGGCUUACUAUUUUUAACAUUUUUAUUUUCUUUUCAAGAUGAUAUGAACCUGCUUAACUAAGCAAACUAUUUUAAAUAGUUGAAAGGAAAAAGAUAACUACCAAGUUUACCUCUUGGCAAGGCGUUCAGUGUUUUUAAGUCCUCCGAACGGGACUCUCCAUUUUCUCAGUCGUCCUGGGAUUCGCUGGAUGGCGUAGUCGGUGGUU
rnacentral:lncRNA from 1 species